rnacentral:lncRNA from 1 species
GCUGACCGUGUCUGAGAUCCUUGAGGCCUGUCCACAAUGCUCAUGUCCCCACUUCUUUCCUCAGGCAAGGAAACUCUACAUCAACCUUCGAAAGUUGCUUGUGGGCACACUGUGAUGUGGAAUGAAGCAGGAGAGAACAACCCUCUGAGAGAACCGGACAGCACCCUCCAUGGUCUCCAUGACUUUGACCUCACUUAAACCACUCUGAGGUCUGACAGGCCUGGAGGUUUAGAGAUUUGGGCCUCAGACUGUGGCUUCUAUGAUGGACACCAUCCAAGGAAUCAGCCACAUGACUUCACUGAAGGGAGACCGAGCUAUGUGGGGCAGGAUCCCACCAGGAAAAAGCAAACUUCUCCAAACAAUUCUCACAGACCGAACUGAAUACAGGAAGUUGGUUGUACUGGAGCGGGGACUUCUGGGAAGUCAAGAGAGGCGAAGAAACAUCCAGAUGUCUGCCAGAGCAUCGAUCCUCCAUGACCCCAGUCAUGGGCAGUCGGGGACAUGCUUACAUCCCUGGAAACAGUUAUUGAAGGAGAAAGGGAAACGGAGAGGGGGCCCCUGCAGAUGACCUCGCUUGCUACACAAGCAAGGAACUUCAGUGGCAACUCCUUAUCGGAUUGACACCCCUCUGAAGACAGGAGCCAAAGUAGCCCUAUCAGGCCAGAAUCCUUGAGAGAUCACAAUUAGCUCUUCACCAGGUAGCAAGAUCAGACUGCAGGCUUCCAGCAGACAGGGUGGUGUGGCCCUGAGACACAGAUCUCAUGGAGGCUGUUAGGAACCGAAGGGCAGCAUCAGUCAUCUGUCCUAGGCUUUGUCCCCGUACUCCCUUUCUAUUCUCUCACAGUGUCUUUGCUUCCCUUUUUAUAGAGAACAGACCCUGGCUAUAAUUAAUCAUGGCAUAAUCACCCAUUUAAUGUCUGUCUUCCACCCUGGACUAUGAGGACAAGUCUAUUCUGUUCCCUGGUAUUCUCGACACACACUGCUUGGUCCAAAGAGGACCCUGACAAACACAUGCCUAACAAAGGGGCCAAUAACAGAAUGGCAGGCAUGCAGGCACACACAUGCAUGCACACAUGCAGACAUGUAUUUGCCCCCACCCCUCCUCUGGGCUCUGGAGCCAGUGUGUUGAACUCUACCAGGCUGAGACUUUUCCUAUAGCACUACUUGGCUCUAUGUAGCCCUCCCAGAAGCUCUGAGAGGAACACCAGGGGCAAAGAAUCAGAGGCAAUAGAAAGCAAGACCAUCUGGAUCUACUUGAGACAAGUGUCUUAACUUGUCUGGACCUGGUCUGUCUGAAAGACUAGAAAUCAUAACAGUAUGUACUUUAUGCCUGGAGCUCUCAUAAUUCACUUUGAGCACUCAAGAGGGUUUCUGGAACUCAGUAGGCAUUCCAUUCAUACAGUUACCAUGACUACAGGCAUCACCCAUAUGCAGGUGAAGACAUCAAGGCUUCACAAGGUUAAUUGAUAUGGACAAGGCUCCAGAGCUAGUCGAUAUUCAAAUGUCUUAGUUACUUUUCUAUUGCUGUGAUAAGACACCAGGCAACUUAUUAAAGAAAAUGUUUCCUUGAGGCUUACGGCUUCAGAGUUCAUGACCAUCAUGGCAAAGAGCAUGGCAACAGGCAGGUGGACAAGAUGGUGGAACAGUAGCUGUCCCACAGCCACAAGGCAGAGAGAGCUAACUGGGAAUAGCAUGGGAUUUUUGAAGUCUCAAAGCCCACCCCCACUGACACACCUCCUCCAUCAAGGCCACAUUUCCUAAUCCUUCCCAAACACUUCCAUCCACAGGGGACCAAGAAUUAGAAAGUAUGAGCCGAAGGGGGCCAUUAUCAUUCAAAAAACCACAUCAAAUAAGGCCAUGGUGUAGGCAUCACAGGUCUAGAGGGAAAGGCUUCCCCUACAGAAGUCUUACAAGUCUGCUCUGGCGCUGCAGGGGAAGGUUUCCCUAAAUCUAAGUGUAACAGCUGUGCUCAGGCAGAGAAAGGUUUCCCCAGUGAAAGUUCUGCCCCUGGAAAAGCGUUACAGCUCUGAUCAGAGAGGUGUCCUGACAGCUGGGAGCCAAGGAAUACCACCAAGUCACAUGGCACAACAAAUCUCACAGAGAAUUAUUGGGAGAGAAAGUCUCAGGUGGGUGGCUACCUCUGCUCUGUGGAAUGCAGUGGAGAACUGGGCAGAGGGCGGAGCUUAUAGGGUGGGGAUUUCCAGGGCAGAGAUUUCCAGGGCGAGGACUGGUGGGAUUUUAAUCCCUGAACUUGAUGAGCUCAUGGAUUGGUGGGUUUUCCUCUUCAGGCAUUGGUGGGUUUUCUUGGCCCUUUUAUCGUACACAUGAGCCCUGGUCUGAGCCCGUGCUGGCCAUCGGACUUUUUUCCUUCUGUGUGGGCUGGUGCAGGUUAGGAGGCAUCGGAGGAGUCUUAGGAAGACAAGAACCAUGUCUGAUAUUAUAGCCUUGGAGAGCCAAUGAAGAGCCGGUCUUGCCUCUCCUGGACAGGACAAAGAAAGACAAAAGGAAAUCUUCUAAGGGCUGAGUGCUGGCCUCUAGAAGACUCGAGUGUGUUUUAUGCUGAGAAUUACAUCCCAAAAUGACCACAAAGUUCUGGCUCAUCUGUCUCUCUCCACUCUUUAAACUCAACCCCCUGACCUGUCUCUAAAUCACAGAGAUUUGAGCUCACUUCAGCCAGGAUGCCUUUGUAUUUCUCACUGCUGAAACAGGUCCCAAGACAAUGCAACAACAGCCUUGAUGGACAAUAAACACACCUUGGGUUAGUGUUCUAUGGUGAGA